AGUGAACGCUGGCGGUAGGCCUAACACAUGCAAGUCGAACGGCAGCACAGUAAGAGCUUGCUCUUACGGGUGGCGAGUGGCGGACGGGUGAGGAAUACAUCGGAAUCUACUUUUUGGUGGGGGAUAACGUAGGGAAACUUACGCUAAUACCGCAUACGACCUACGGGUGAAAGCAGGGGAUCUUCGGACCUUGCGCGAUUGAAUGAGCCGAUGUCGGAUUAGCUAGUUGGCGGGGUAAAGGCCCACCAAGGCGACGAUCCGUAGCUGGUCUGAGAGGAUGGUCAGCCACACUGGAACUGAGACACGGUCCAGACUCCUACGGGGGGCAGCAGUGGGGAAUAUUGGACAAUGGGCGCAAGCCUGAUCUAGCCAUACCGCGUGGGUGAAGAAGGCCUUCGGGUUGUAAAGCCCUUUUGUUGGGAAAGAAAAGCAGCAGGUUAAUACCCCGCUGUUCUGACGGUACCCAAAGAAUAAGCACCGGCUAACUUCGUG
rnacentral:rRNA from 1 species